rnacentral:rRNA from 1 species
GUCUACUGCUAUACCACACUGAAUGUACUGAACCUUGCUUUGUCUCAUCUCAGAAACUAAGCAGGGUCCAGCAUGUUUAGUAUCUGGGUGGGAGAAAGGCUUGAAGAAGAUAACU